rnacentral:misc_RNA from 1 species
AGCGCUUCAGCAUUUAAUGAGGUGAGUUUAUUUAUUAAAUGACUUCAGCAUUUAAGGUGGUGAAUUUAGUUACUAAAUGAACGUAUUGAUACGGUGAAGUGAUUUUUCCUCUAGUUCCCACUCUCUCUCCAUACAAAAAUACAAAAUAGGGACAUCAUUUUCAAAAAGAGACUAGAAAAUGGAAAUGACAGAAACAAGAAAAAAUAGUGGGCAACUUAAUAAUAAAAUGGAGACUAGACUCUGCGAGGCCGCUAGAAAAGCUUUUUGAAUGCUCCUUUGCUGACAAUGUUUACUCAUUUGUUUUCUUCUUCCUUUCUUUUUCUUUAGUGGCAACUAUUGUUCAGAACUUCAGAUUUGAAGAAUCUUGAGUCUAAUUGUAUCUAAAAUUGACUGCCUAUUAGCAUCAUAUAAUUUUUGUACCUGAUAACAUGAAAAUAUUUGCAAAUUAUUCCUUUAUUUAUUUAUUUCGCCUCUGUUACAGAAAGUGAAGUUUUUACAAAGU